UACUGAGUUACAUUGGUGUGUCAUGGAAGGUGCACUUUUGCCUGUCAGAGUGGUUUCUAAUUAAAAUCAUUAGAUACGGUGUCAAUAGAUGGUGCUGAAGAGCAGCAACAUCACCCUUGAUUGUUGUAGCACCCAUAAUAUUCCUAAAGAAUUGAAACCGCUGUCAUUAGCUGCUGUUUACAUAACCUUCAGUGACUUGUACUGCUGGAGAUGUUGCACUGUUUCCAGCCAUCAGUACAAAAUAAACGUUGGUAUUUCUGUAAAAACAUCUUAGCUUUCUUAAAUAAACAUGGAAAUUUCAUUUUGUACAAUAAUAAUAUGUCUCUAUUCUUUUUUAGUCAUCCUCUUUACAUGCCUUCUUUGGAAGUUGGCUGUAAUGUACUUUCAGUAUACACUGUCUGUUCUUCUGGAGUACUCUGGACACUGACACUGAUUUAUGAGAACAAAACACACCUUUCACCUGUAGCCCUGCUGAUCCUUCUGCAUUGCUGCACAAGCUCUGCUCACAGCACUGACAGCUAGGGAGACCAACUGGAGAUGAGCUGCUCAAAUAAAGUUUAUUUUGAAAAGGGUGAUGUCAUGGGCUUUAGUUUGGUGAUACUGACCCCAGGGCAUGCAUUUAAUAUGAAAAUAUCACAGACUGUUCCCAGCUGGUAGCUUAACACAAAUACAUCAGUCUUGAAGGGCAUGGGAACCCGCUCUUGGAGGCUGCAUACUCUCAGAAGGCUCUAAAGUCUAACUUCGACUCUUUGCUUUUUAUACAUUUAAGAGCCAGCUCCUGAAAAAAAUCAAUUCUCCUGUUUUCAGAAGAGAUGAAUUUGAUAUUACUCUGGGAACUUCAUAUCAAGAUUGAGAAGUGAUGGCGCAACUUAGCUAAAACCUACACAUUUGAUUCUGACCAACAGCAGGCAGUGCAUUGACCUGUGUUGUACAAGAAAUCAUAUUUUUCCUUCUGGCUUUUUUCUAUAAAAUCUGUAACUUUCAGUCUUGAAUGUUCAUGUACAAGAGAAAAAAUCAAAUUGAGAGGAGGGAAGGAUGAACACUUUGGAUACCACUACACACAAAUUUGUCGAACCAGCCAUGGGCUUCCCAUAGCUGCUAAGCAAAUCUCUCUGUGCCUCUUUCAUCCCUCACAUAAGUUGUAAAACUUCCAGCUUGGAUAAUGCCUUACUGCCCGUUACCCAUAAGAAUGGGGCACUGUGCUUGGUUGGGAUUUCUAGACUUGCCUUGGUUCCACUUAAAACUAGGCACUCAGAACAAGAAAUCUGAAUAAAUAAAUACUGGCAAAUCCAAGGAAGAGCUGAGUUCCUCCAUCCAAGGACUGCAAAAAGAGAGCUCAGGAGGGCAAGACUCCUCAGAUGCUGUUUGUCUGACAAGUGUAGGUUUAGGUGUAGCCUCAAGUUAAAAACUAAAUGCUGUAACAUCACAGCUCAUCAGAUUCUCAAGUCUAACACUUAAAUUGCCAGUAGGCUGUAUUUUGGUGAAACACCAACACAGCCCCAGGAUCCUGCACUUUGCAUUUUUAGGUAUCUGUCUGUUUGCUCAAAAUUGCUCAUGAUUGAUCAUGUAGUUUGUGCAGCUUGUCCCUGUCAAACUUCCUCAAUCGAUUGAAAUAGAUAUUUACAAGACAGAUGUGUAUAAUGUAAUGAAAUAUCCCACAACACAUACAGUGUGAAUGAAUGGUGCUGACAAGAACUGAUAUGCUUUGUCCCAGACAUCGCAUCAUAUAGAACUGAGUAUGUGCAACUUAGGAAAGGUCAAAAACAUCUUAAAAUAGCUGAUGUCCAAAAGCUCAUCCUCUCCCUCAAGCUCUAGCACAGAUAAUGUCACCAUUCAAUUACUGCCGCCCUGAUUUUUGCUUUUUCCAACACAUCAUGACAUUCCGAUGCCAGAUAGUUUUGACAUAUUGUAGCCAAACCUUGGAGGGAGGUGUCACACAUUUUUAUUUGGAUACUUGGGCUUAAUUCAAGUGACAGCUGGAUUAUUUUUUUCUCCAGCUUAUUCCAGUGUUAUAAAGAUGUAUGUUAAACUCACCCAUGCACCUUGCUGCGGAGGUACCAGAUGAUCUGGCAUAUGCGAUUCGUUAACCGAACAUUUGUUUCCCCAGGAGCAAUACACGCAUUGUGUCACUUGUGCUCUGAAGCUAUGCAUUUUCCUUAAUGAAUCUGCAUCUACUUCCUCCCGAUUCACAGGACAGACAGCAAGCAGGGGUGGUAUAUCAGCCCCCAUCCCAGUCAGACCAGGUUCAGGGCACCAGCACCCCGUGCUUAGGACUUUCCAAGGCCAGGCUUCUGCCCAGAGCCUGGAGCUCACUGCAGCGGUUUCUCCUCAGAACAGCCUCAACUUGUGUGUAGAAGCCAUGGAAUUUCUUCCUUUUUUAGCCAUUUCUUUCAGUUGUUCACUGACUCAGGUCCCCGUCUUCAGCAUUUGUUCUGCCUCUUCUAAAUGCCUUUCAGGCUAUCACCUCUUCCCUUGUCCAAGUACAGAUUGCUCCAGGUCCACACCACUGCAGAUGUCUCACCCUACUUGGUCCACCUCAAACAAUCUGCAAGAGCUUGUGUUACUUUAUACUAAAGGAAAACCUCCAGGAUUGUCCUUGAGUAAGGUGCAAUGUCCCCUCCUGUUCAUGCCAGCACUACAGGACACCAGCCAAGCAUCAUCCUCAGAUGGAGCUGCUAUUACAUUAGCUAGUUGAAAGCUGCCAAUGAAUUUACUGGAAGUAUUUAACCUUUCGGAGAUGAUGUCACUAUUGCUGCAAUGAAGAUUGGCUAAUAUGCUUUU